AGGAUAAACGCUGGCGGCGUGCCUAACACAUGCAAGUCGAACGUCUCUUCUUUCGGGAAGAGGAGUGGCGGACGGGUGAGGAACACGUGGGAACCUGCCCUUCAGUGAGGAAUACCGGCGAGAAAUCGCCGACAAGACCGCAUAGCCCUCUCUGGUGAGAGCCAGAGAAGGAAAGCUUCGCAAGAGGCGCUGGAGGAGGGGCCUGCGUCCGAUUAGCUAGUUGGUGGGGUAAGAGCCUACCAAGGCGUCGAUCGGUAGCUGGUCUGAGAGGACGAUCAGCCACACUGGGAUUGAGAACGGCCCAGACUCCUACGGGGGGCAGCAGUGAGGAAUUUUCGGCAAUGGGGGAAACCCUGACCGAGCAACGCCGCGUGCAGGAAGACGGCCUUCGGGUUGUAAACUGCUUUCUUUGGACGAGCAAGGACGGUACCAGAGGAAUCAGCCCCGGCUCACUACGUGCCAGCAGCCGC
rnacentral:rRNA from 1 species